AAAGUUGACUUUGAUUUUCUUUUCCAUUCAGACAGUUCCAUUAGGUUAUGGGCACUAAGUGGUGAAACAUUGAUGGAGAUGGUUGGUGACACUUCCAUUGUGUAUUCAGUGGAUUCACAUGCUUCCGAAGUCAUUGUUAGUGGGAGUGAAGAUUGUUCGGCAAAGAUAUGGAAAGAUGGAAUUUGUGUCUAGAGCAUUGAGCAUCCUGGUUGCGUUUGGGAUGCCAAGUUUUUGGAAAAUGGAGAUAUUGUCACAGCUUGUUUAGAUGGAGUAGUACGUGUCUGGACGGCAGAACAGGAAAGAAUUGCUGAUCCCCAAGAAUUGGAGUUAUUUGCUUCAAGACUGUCUCAGUAUAAGUUGAAGAGGUGCCCCACAACAGCUGCCACACACACACACACACACUCACAAAGAGGAAGUUCCAAAAUCCUUUUGUUUUCAUCUCUCUUUCUCUCUCUCUCUCUGUAGCUUAUUUGGACUUCUUGAGGCAGAAGCAUGAUUCUGAGCAUAUCUAAAAUAAUGUCCGUAUAGAAUAUAUUCUGCUUUGAGUAUGAUGUUAGCGACUUAUGUACAUCUUUAAUUUAUUUGUUCAUACCUCAUGAUAAUGUGCACUUUUAUUCCUAUGUUGGCUGUUGGUCUUCUA